GCCGGGCGUGGUGGUGGGCGCCUGUAGUCCCAGCUACUCGGAGGCUGAGGCAGGAGAAUGGCGUGAACCUGGGAGGCGGAGCUUGCAGUGAGCCGAGAUCACGCCCCUGCACUCCAGCCUGGGUGACAAGAGCAAGACUUCGUCUCAAAAAAUAAUAAUAAUAAAAUGAUUAUAAUACUUACAAAAUACUCAGUGUUCAUAUUUCCUCAAUUAUGUCCCGAUUUUUUUUUUUUUUUUUUUUUUUUUUUUUUUUUUUUUUUGAGACGGAGUUUUGCUCUGUCGCCCAGGCUGGAGUGCAGUGGUGCGAUCUCGGCUCACUGCAGCCUCCGCCUCCCCGGUUCAAGUGAUUCUCCUGCCUCAG
rnacentral:SRP_RNA from 1 species